CGUGGGUGACCACCUUUCAGUGAGGAAUAACCGGCGAGAAAUCGCCGACAAUACCGCAUGAGCUUCCCUUGCGAGAGGAGGGGAAGGAAAGCUUUCUCUUUUGAGAAGGCGCUGGGAGAUGGGCCCGCGGCCGAUUAGCUAGUUGGUGGGGUAAGAGCCUACCAAGGCGUCGAUCGGUAGCUGGUCUGAGAGGACGAUCAGCCACACUGGGAUUGAGAACGGCCCAG
rnacentral:rRNA from 1 species